rnacentral:rRNA from 1 species
GGGGAAUCUUGCGCAAUGGCCGAAAGGCUGACGCAGCGACGCCGCGUGGAGGAUGACGCCCUUCGGGGUGUAAACUCCUGUUGCCCGGGACGAAUGCCUGUUUCGACAGGAGUGACGGUACCGGGUGAGGAAGCACCGGCUAACUCUGUGCCAGCAGCCGCGGUAAUACAGAGGGUGCGAGCGUUGUCCGGAAUCACUGGGCGUAAAGGGCGCGUAGGCGGUUGGGUAAGCGUGUGGUGAAAGUCCGGGGCUCAACCCCGGAUCGGCCAUGCGAACUGUCCGACUGGAGCACGGUAGAGGCACAUGGAAUUCCGGGUGUAGCGGUGGAAUGCGUAGAGAUCCGGAAGAACACCGGUGGCGAAGGCGGUGUGCUGGGCCGUAGCUGACGCUGAGGCGCGACAGCGUGGGGAGCAAAC